GUUGCAAAGAACUUUGAAGAGAGAGUUCAAGAGAACGUGAAAUCGCUGAAGUGGAACCGGAGAGAGUUAACAUAACUUGGUAGCUAUAUUCUCUAUAGUCGCUUAGCUGUGGCUUUGGGGGGUGGACGCUACCUGUUGUUGCGCUGACUGCGUUGAUCAUGCUUUCCUAACAAUGUAGUGUUGCCCACAUUGUGGUGUCUUGCUUAUUGGGAGGUUUGUCAUGGUUAACGUCAAGCCUUAGUUUCUAGGGAGUCAGUGUGAAAGUUAACCACCUUUCCGACCCGUCUUGAAACACGGACCGAGGAGUGUAAUUUACACGCGAGUCAAAGGGCUGAGGAAACCUUAUGGCAUAAUGAAAGUAAAGACCGGUUAACCGGUUGACAUGGGAUCCGACUGAACUUCUUCGAAACGGAGCACCAUGGCCCUGUCUUGUCUGCUUGCAGAUGGGCAGCGGUAGAGCGUGUAGGUUGCGACCCGAAAGAUGGUGAACUAUGCUUGAGCAGGACGAAGCCAGAGGAAACUCUGGUGGAAGUCCGUAUCGGUUCUGACGUGCAAAUCGAUCGAUAGA
rnacentral:rRNA from 1 species